rnacentral:rRNA from 1 species
AUGUCGAUCAGAUCCACGGCCCAGAUGACGCACCCGCGGUUGAUGCCCCCGCUGACGUCCGCCGCCGCGUACGCCCUGCAGCUGCAGUUGCCGAGGCACAUCUUCCUGCACUGGUCCAUGGUCACGCCGGCGUGCACCGUCGCGCUGGUCGCCUCCGGCAGCUUCAUCCGGCUCACUGUCCAGAACCCGUCUCCGGCCCCGCAGCUCAGGUUGGUCGUCCUGACGCAGCCGCCGGAGCCGUCCCCGAGGCUCCACCGCUGA